GGGGUUCUCAAGCAGAAUGGCUUGUGAGUACACUUAAAAGUUUGAGGCAGCUGACCUGAAAUUUGUGGUGGGGAUGAAAGUGGAAAGUACUGGAGAGCUUCCAAGUCACCAUUUUUAGACGGAAGUGCAAUUCCAUCCCAUGUUCAAAUUAAGACCUGGACGGCCUUCUGCUUUAAAUCUAUCGCUGGAGCAUGAAUU